rnacentral:tRNA from 1 species
UCCCAGCUGGCGCAGCUGGUAAAGAGAAUCUGCCUGCCAGUGCAGGAGACCCAGGUUCGAUCCCUGGGUCGGGAA